GCUAAAUAACUAGCCUAAUAAUCUAAUCAAGUUACCAGUUUCCCCUCCCUCGAAAUCAUUCUUUUACGUAAGUAUUGGAGAUAGAAAACAAAUUUAGCGCAAUAGCAAUUAGUACCGUAAGGGAAACAUGAAAGAAUAAUUUUAAUUUAAAGCAUAAAAAAGCAGGAAUAAACCUCCUUACCUCUUGCAUCAUGGUUUAGCAAGCAAUCUAAGAUAAAAUGCUUUUUUAAUCUCUCCCCCCGAAAUCAAUCGAGCUACCUUAGAACAACUCUCUUGGAGUGCCCCCAUUUCUGUGACAAAAGAAUGGAAAGAUUCUAAGGUAGUAGUAAAAUGCUAAUCGAGUUUGACGAUAGCUGGUUAACUAAUAAAAGAAUCUAAGUUCUGUUCUGAUUAAAAUACACACUUAUUCUUAGUCACCCUCUUUAUUCAGAAAAAACAUAGUAAAGGUUCAGCUUUACUAUUUCCGGAUACAGCCGGAAUCUGAGGGCUAGUCUUAUCUUCUUUCCGGUCGGCUUUAAAUCAGCCACCCAAUAAAAUUACGUCAAAGCAUUUAAUUUAAAAAUCCCAUAAUAAAAUUACACCCCCCCGAUCUCUAAUUAGUUAAUUCUAUAACAAAAUAGAAACUCUAAUGCUAAAACUAGUAAUAAGAAUCCUAUCUUCUCUUUAGCAUCCCUUUGAUUCAGCUAUGAUAGCCUACUGAAAAUUAACAAACCUCAACAUGGUACUAUAUUUUUUAUCAAGCAUCAUUAUCUUUAUAACUGUCACUCCAACACAGGCAUGCUCCUAAGACGAUUAAAAGCUUUAGAAGGAACUCGGCUAAUGCGCCCCAACUGUUUACCAAAAACAUAGCCUUUAGCUUAUCAAGUAUUAAAGGUGUUGCCUGCCCAGUGAAAUUUUUAACGGCCGCGGUACCCUAAUCGUGCAAAGGUAGCGUAAUCAUUUGUUUUCUAAAUAAAGACCCGUAUGAAUGGCUAAAUGAGGGCUCGACUGUCUCCUAUCGCUAAUCAAUGAAUCUGAUCUUCUAGUACAAAAGCUAGAAUACACCCAUAAGACGAGAAGACCCUGUGGAGCUUUAAAUAAAAUACUAAAAUCUUAAUAUCCUAGUAUAUUGUUUUCAGUUGGGGCAACUUUGGAAAAAAAAGAAACUUCCAAGUAUAAGAUUUAUAAUAUCUUAUUAUGACUGACAAGUCUAAUUACUAAUAUAAUGACCCAGUAAUACUGAUCAUCGAACCAAGUUACCCCAGGGAUAACAGCGCAAUCUUCUUUAAGAGUUCUUAUCGCUAAGAAGGUUUACGACCUCGAUGUUGGAUCAGGACCCCCAAAUGGUGUAGCUGCUAUUAAAGGUUCGUUUGUUCAACGAUUAAUGUCCUACGUGAUCUGAGUUCAGACCGGAGCAAUCCAGGUCGGUUUCUAUCUAUGAUGCAGCUCUAUUUAGUACGAAAGGACCAAUAAAGCAAGACCUCUAUUUAAACAAGUCUUAUUAAAAAUUGACUAAAACUCAAAUACUCCGCAACAAGUCUACUAAAGACAAUAGCAAUU
rnacentral:rRNA from 1 species